rnacentral:pre_miRNA from 1 species
UUGCGUAGGCGUUGUGCACAGAUUCGACUCGAAUCGUCUGUGCAUCUCGUCUAGGCGCCA